rnacentral:lncRNA from 1 species
AGCUGAUGCGGGAGGGUUUGAAGCGGCGCCGGGAGGGAGCGAGGCUGCAGUGACCGCGGCGCGCGCUGGGACCCACCCGCGUCUCGCGCUCACCCUGCGGCCAUGGCCACCCCGGCGGGCCGGCGCGCCUCAGGUGAGCGCGGGCGGCGGGAGGGCGCGCCCAGCUCAGCGACCUCGGGUGACUUCCGCUGCAGUCCAAUACUGGAAGAUGGGCUUUCGGCUUCUAGAACCUGGGCGGCGGGCGGGCCAGCAUCUCCUACCUCAGGCGGAGAGCUUCUACCGAUCCUAGAAUCUGGGCGGCGGGUGGGCAUCGAGCGUCCAGCUUAGUGUUCUGACUUUCAGGGCGGACUUCUCAGUGUUCCUAUGGGAGAUUGACGAAUGAUUCCUCCUAGAAUCUGGGCAGUGGGUGCACAGCGACACCUCCGACCUUGGACGUCAAGCGCCCAACUUCCCGUUCGUCAAUUCCAGUGCGGACUUCUCAGAUGCUCCAUAGGGGAGAGAUGGGUAGAUGGCUCCCAGAACCUGGGCUUCCAGUUCUCAAGUUUUUCAAGUCCUCAUAUGAGAGAGAUAGACAGUAGCAUCCUAGAACCUGGGUGGUGGGUGUGUACCAACAACAUCUCUAACCUCAGGUGAACAGCUUGCAUAGUACCCAGAACUCAGGUAGUACAGGUACCAGCAACUCUUGGCCUCAAGCACUGAGGGUCUACAGUUCCUAGAACUGGGUGGUGGGUGGACACCACUUCCCCAGCCUCUUUCUCCAAGCUCUCCAUUUUUCCCUUUAAAGUGUGGUGCAGACUUAUGGAGGAGAGAUGGGCAGUUGGUUCUCAGAACCAGUGGGCAGGUCCCAGCCUUUAAAACCUCUGCAGAGAGCUUAUUGUUGAUGACAAUUCUAAAGGCCAGUACAAACUUAGUUGCCUUAUGAGAGAGAGAUAGAGCGUCCAAAGAACUUGGACAGUGGGUGGGCUUAAGAUUCUCCAGUUUAAGAGGGCAGGACUCCUGAUAAUCCCAGCCUCCACCUCCCUUGUGCUGGGAUUCUAAGCAUGUAUCACCAUGGAUGGCUGUAUUAUUGUUAUUACGAAACAUUUCUUUCCAGGGUUGUUUGUGACCUGUGAGAGUAUUGCCUUCCCCAACCUAGUCUCUUCUCAGUUUGUAAACAGGCGCCAGCCAGCCAGCCAGCCAGCUAGCUAGUUUCUUCCAUUAGGACAGUAUUUGAAGCCCGAGCUUUUGUUAGCGGUAGUUUGGUUUUGUUUGGAUCAGGUUCUUAGUCUAUAGACCCUGAACUUCUUUUACUUUUGUUUUUGUCUGUUUUGAGACAGAGUGUCUAUGUAGCUCUGGGAGUUCUGGAAUUCUGGUAUCUGCCUUCUUUGCUUCCAGAAUUCUGCCAGACUUGAACCUGUGAUACUCCUUUUUCAGCCUCUGAGUACUGUGAUUACAGGCCUAGUCGAGUCUUCCUCCUCCUCUUUCUCUCCUCCUUCUGGAUUGAACCUAGGGCCAUGUACCACACUACCACUGAGCUAUGGCCCAAGCUAUAGCCAAAGUUCUAGUUCCUCAGUUUGCCAGAACUCAGACAGCAACCUGCAAUGAGACCCAAGGCUUCCCUUCUGGAAGCCAAUGCCCAAAUGUUCAGCCUCCCUGAACGUAUAGGCAGGAAUAGAGCUAAAGGGAUGUUCUCCACAAAUUAGGGGACUAAACUACAGUUCCUCAAACUCAUACCUUCCUAAAAUGAGAUUGUGUGCUCCCAGUUUCCUGGCUUGUCACUAAGAAAUCUGGGGAUGGCAUCUUGUGUUGAUCUCUCACUGUGUGCUGCCUGCAGACAUUCAUGUGGGAGUUCUGGCUGGUAAUGCCUGGGAUGGGCUACGCUGUGAUCUUAGCUAAGGCGUUACAGCCUGCCUUUGGUUUUCCUCCCUACUAGCUUGUAAACAUGCUCAUCUAGACUGAAAAGGGAGGAGCCAAGUAGGAACCACGGGUAGUGACGUGGCCCAGCCUUUCCUGGCAGCUUUGGGGCUGGAAGAGUUGCUCACAGAUAGAAUGCUUCUAUAGCAUUCCCCUCAGACCUAGCUAUGCACUGAAGCAUGGGCCAUUUUCUGGUUGGUCUGGCAGGAUUCUCAAAGUAGUUUCUAGAUCUCAGCCUUAGAGGUAGAUAGAUGGUUUUAAUUUCCACUUUUUAGACGAUGUAGGGAGGUGGACUGUCUUAGUCAGGGUUUCUAUUCCUGCACAAACAUCAUGACCAAGAAACAAGUUGGGGAGGAAAGGAUUUAUUCAGCUUACACUUUCAUACUGCUGUUCAUCACCAAAGGAAGUCAGGACUGGAACUCAAGCAGGUCAGGGAGCAGGAGCUGAUGCAGAGGCCAUGGAGGAAUGUUCCUUACUGGCUUGCUUCCCCUGGCUUGCUCAGCUUGCUUUCUUAUAGAACCCAGGACUACCAGCACAGAGAUGGUCCCACCCACAAGGGGCCUUUUCCCCCUGAUCACUAAUUGAGAAAAUGCCUUGCAGCUGGAUCUCAUGGAGGCAUUUCCUCAAUUGAUGCUCCUUUCUCUGUGAUAACUCCAGCUGUGUCAAGUUGACACAAAACUAGCCAGUACACCCACUUAGGAAACAUUCUUGAGGUUGAUCAUCACACUGUAUCACAAUUCUAUAAAUACACUAAAACCCACCAGAUUUUACAUGUGUGUGUGUAUGAGUGUGUGUGUGUGUAUGGGUGUGUUUGUGUGUACACUUGUGAGUGCAGGAGCCCUGUGUCCAGAAGGGACAGCGGAUCCCCUGGAGCUAGAGUCACAGGCUGCUGUGAACUGCCAUGUGUGUAAUUGCAAAGCCCUGCAAGAACAGUACGUGUUCUUAAUCACUGAGCUAUGUCUCUAGCUUCCAUCCUGGGUUUUGAUUCUCUAACAC